rnacentral:lncRNA from 1 species
CUGGGGUUAUUGAUGCAGACUAUCAAGGGGUUGUUAAAAUUAUGAUUAGAACUUUUUUCCCUCCUGUAUCUAUUCCAACAGGUUCAUGAAUUGCUCAGCUUGUUCCUUUUAAGUCUUGUGUCCCCUGUACAGACUACAAGGAACGGGGAACAGGAAGCUUUGGUUCCACAGGUAAACCAGAAGUAUAUUGGGCCAUGGACAUCACAAGAGAUAGCUUUGGCUGGAUAUGAGGAUAAAGUUCACAAUACUAAUCCACGGCACCAUGUGUUAUCAUCUUUGUUGGAGCAUCAGCAUGUGGAGGACAGACCCUGGAGAUCUGGCUGUCCCGUGUCUGGGCAGACAGCAUUUACAGAUGCAGAUAAAAGGUCAAAAAGGGCUGCCUGCAUUUGGCAGCAAGGCAAAGUGUGGAAAAAGCAUGACAUUUUUGGAGAGGUAAAAGAUAGGUUGCAGACAAUAGAAUUGAAAGCUGUGAUUUGGGAUUUUGAAAAUUGGAAUAAUGAGGCCAUUAACAUUGUUUCUGAUUUGCUUUGUGUAGUUGGCUGUGUCCCACGCCUAGAAAGAGCAGUACUAAGGAGGUGACUAAUGAGCAUUUGUAUUCCCUUUUAAGCUGAUUGCUUAAAAACGUAAAUCAACGAUGGCAGGAAUACUUUAUUGCUCAUGUUCGUAGUCAUCAAGCUCUCCCUGGUCUGUCUGAAGGUAACGCUCGAGCUGAUCGGUUGGUAGCCACUGUCUGUCCAAUGCCAAACUCUGAUAAAUUCCAGCAAGCCAAAACCUCCCAUGCAUUUCUUCAUCAAUCUGCAAAAAUGUUAGCUAGAAAAUUUGGUAUUCCCCUUACUGAUGCUUCUGGUAUUGUGCAAUCCUGUCCUGAUUGUCACUGAGAUGGCAUUGGUUUAGGCACUGGUGUUAGCCCUAGGGGUGCUCAACCCUUGCAAUUAUGGCAAAUGGAUGUAACCCCUGUAGCAGAAUUUGGUCAGAAAAAGUCUGUCCAUGUUUGCAUUGAUGCCUAUUCUUGUGCUAUAUGGGCCACUCCCUUAACAGGUGAGACAGCACGUCAUGUAGAGAAAAAUUUCUACAAUUGCUUUGCCAUAUUAGGUAUCCCCUUAGCAAUAAGGAGUGGCAAUGCUCCUGCUUGCUGAUCCUCAAUUU